GAUGAAGAACGCAGCGAAAUGCGAUAAGUAAUGUGAAUUGCAGAAUUCAGUGAAUCAUCGAAUCUUUGAACGCAUCUUGCGCUCCUUGGUAUUCUGAGGAGCAUGCCUGUUUGAGUGUCAUUAAAUUCUCAACUACACUGACUUUGAAUUGGUGUGGCUUGGAUUUGGGGGGAAAAUUGUUGUGGGCUUUUUGUAUAGUCUGCUCCCCUGAAAUUGAUUAGCGGUACCUUUGUGGAACUGUCUACAGGUGUGAUAAUUAUCUACAUCUUAGACAUCUGCUGGAAUGCUGCUUUCUAAACCUUACUUGUAUUGACAAUCUUGACCUCAAAUCAGGUAGGACUACCCGCUGAACAUAAGCAUAUCAAUAAGCGGAGGA
rnacentral:misc_RNA from 1 species